GCGCAGCAGGCGAGAAAACUUCACACUGUGCGAAAGCACGAUGAGGGAAUCCCAAGUGCUUGCACGUAAGUGUAAGCUGUUUCUCUGUCUAAAACGCAGAGAGAGUAAGGGCUGGGUAAGACGGGUGCCAGCCGCCGCGGUAAUACCUGCAGCUCAAGUGGUGACCGUUAUUAUUGGGCCUAAAACGUCCGUAGCCGGUUUAAUAAAUGCCUGGGUAAAUUGUGUAGCUUAACUAUACGAAUUCCGGGUAGACUGUUAAACUUGAGACCGGGAGAAGUUAGAGGUACUCCUGGGGUAGAGGUGAAAUUCUGUAAUCCUAGGGGGACCACCAGUGGCGAAGGCGUCUAACUAGAACGGGUCUGACGGUGAGGGACGAAGCCCUGGGGCGCAAACGGGAUUAGAUACCCGUGUAGU
rnacentral:rRNA from 1 species